UGGGGAAUUUUGGACAAUGGGGGAAACCCUGAUCCAGCAAUGCCGCGUGUGUGAAGAAGGCCUUCGGGUUGUAAAGCACUUUUGUCCGGAAAGAAAACCUUUGCACUAAUACUGUGGGGGGAUGACGGUACCGGAAGAAUAAGCACCGGCUAACUACGUGCCAGCAGCCGCGGUAAUACGUAGGGUGCGAGCGUUAAUCGGAAUUACUGGGCGUAAAGCGUGCGCAGGCGGUUCGUUAAGACAGAUGUGAAAUCCCCGGGCUUAACCUGGGAACUGCAUUUGUGACUGGCGAGCUAGAGUAUGGCAGAGGGGGGUAGAAUUCCACGUGUAGCAGUGAAAUGCGUAGAGAUGUGGAGGAAUACCGAUGGCGAAGGCAGCCCCCUGGGCCAAUACUGACGCUCAUGCACGAAAGCGUGGGGAGCAAACAG
rnacentral:rRNA from 1 species